GACGUAGGGGGCCAGCGUUGUUCGGAAUUACUGGGUGUAAAGGGCUCGUAGGCGGUGCGGCAAGUUGGGAGUGAAAUCUCUGGGCUUAACCCAGAGGCUGCUUCCAAAACUGCUGUGCUUGAGUGUGGGAGAGGCGCGUGGAAUUGCAGGUGUAGCGGUGAAAUGCGUAGAUAUCUGCAGGAACACCCGUGGCGAAAGCGGCGCGCUGGACCACUACUGACGCUGAGGAACGAAAGCUAGGGGAGCAAACAGG
rnacentral:rRNA from 1 species